UAGGGAAUCUUCGGCAAUGGACGAAAGUCUGACCGAGCAACGCCGCGUGAGUGAAGAAGGUUUUCGGAUCGUAAAACUCUGUUGUUAGAGAAGAACAAGGACGUUAGUAACUGAACGUCCCCUGACGGUAUCUAACCAGAAAGCCACGGCUAACUACGUUCCAGCAGCCGCGGUAAUACGUAGGUGGCAAGCGUUGUCCGGAUUUAUUGGGCGUAAAGCGGGCGCAGGCGGUUUCUUAAGUCUGAGGUGAAAGCCCCCGGCUCAACCGGGGAGGGUCAUUGGAAACUGGGAGACUUGAGUGCAGAAGAGGAGAGUGGAAUUCCAUGUGUAGCGGUGAAAUGCGUAGAUAUAUGGAGGAACACCAGUGGCGAAGGCGGCUCUCUGGUCUGUAACUGACGAUAAGGCUCAAAAGCGUGGGGAGCAAACAGG
rnacentral:rRNA from 1 species